rfam:Beta vulgaris subsp. vulgaris Bvchr2.sca013.con0142.1, whole genome shotgun sequence.
GAGGCCUGUGAUGAUCUGUCCAUUAAUUUUGCCUACAUUGUUUGAGUUUACAAUGAAAGGAAUAUGGUGUCUGAGGCUUUC